UAAUAAUGAUGAGGACAUUGGAUGAGAAGCAACUUAAAUCUAUCCCAUGCCUAAUGAAAAUGCUCUCCUUCCAUUUGAGAAAACGUUGUAAUCUUGGUCCUUAAGUCA